UCCCUCACAUUGCUACAAAACAUGAUGAUUCUAUUAUUAAAGAUAAGCAAAGAAAAUAAUGACGAAUAAACAAACGCCUUACCCGUUCUAGAGUUACUGGUAGACAAAAUAAUAAAGAACUACGCCUGAAAUGAACUCAUCUGGAGGCUAACCCUAAUCCCGCACAUUGCUACCAAACAUGAUGAAUCUAUUAUUAAAGACACUGUGAACUCCUCUGGAGUUGCCUCCAAAUGAUAUUUCUAUCACCACUACCACAAUCCCUAUGCCACCUCUGCCUAAUUUUUAACAAAUAUAAGCAUUUAAUUCCACUAUCAUUCACCUCAUUAGGAGUUAUUAUAAAUAAUACUUUAUCCGAUUCCCUGAGGAACUUUCAUGAAUAUUUAGAGAGAUGUUCAAACGUGAAUGUGUAGUGCAGCCAAUUUCAUUAACAUUAUUAAUGGGAAAAUAUGCGAUAGUUUUGUCAUGGCCUUUAUAACAAUA